rnacentral:rRNA from 1 species
UAUCAGUCAUGCAUAGCAUAUCAAUAAGCGGAGGAAAAGAAACUAACAAGGAUUCCCUUAGUAACGGCGAGUGAAGCGGGAAGAGCUCAAAUUUGAAAUCUUCAAGGUUUUACCUUGACGAAUUGUAGUUUAAAGAAGUGUUUUCUGUUGAAGUUUUGGUAAAAGUUCUUUGGAAUAGGACAUCAUAGAGGGUGAGAAUCCCGCAUUUGACCAUUACUUUCAGCUUUGUGAUACACUUUCAAAGAGUCGGAUUGUUUGGGAAUGCAGUCCAAAAUGGGUGGUAAAUUUCAUCUAAAGCUAAAUAUUGGCGAGAGACCGAUAGCGAACAAGUACCGUGAGGGAAAGAUGAAAAGAACUUUGAAAAGAGAGUUAAACAGUACGUGAAAUUGUCAAAAGGGAAGCGUUUGACACCAGUGUUGUUUUCUCGAAAAUCAAUUAAAAAGAGUUGGAUUUUGUGUUGUAUUGACUUUAUCAGGCUUUCUUCACUCUUUUCCAGCUUUUUUUAAUGCACUUUUCGUUUAACAAGUCAACAUCAGUUUCUUUUGUUGUAAAAAGGUCAUUGGAAGGUGGCUUUCUCUUCGGAGAAAGUGUUUAUAGCCUUUGACUCAUGCAAUCGGAGAGACUGAGGUCUGCAGCGUAGAUCCUUCGGGGUUAGAUACAUUUGUGCUAAGUUAUAGCUUUUCAGUAGACAACUUGUUGACUAUGUUUAGUCUUGUAGCUUACUCGCUUAUGCUAUUUUACCUACGCUUAGGAUGUUGAACUCUAUCACACACAG